rnacentral:rRNA from 1 species
CAGUAGCCACGGUAAUACAGAGGAUGCAAGCGUUAUCCGGAAUUAUUGGGCGUAAAGGGCUCGCAGGCGGUUUCUUAAGUCUGAUGUGAAAGCCCCCGGCUCAACCGGGGAGGGUCAUUGGAAACUGGGAAACUUGAGUGCAGAAGAGGAGAGUGGAAUUCCACGUGUAGCGGUGAAAUGCGUAGAGAUGUGGAGGAACACCAGUGGCGAAGGCGACUCUCUGGUCUGUAACUGACGCUGAGGAGCGAAAGCGUGGGGAGCGAACGGGAUUAGAUACCCGUGUAGUCCCUGUCUCUUAUAC